rnacentral:rRNA from 1 species
UGAAUGAGUAUUUUUAAGUUAGCAUAUAUGGAUAAAUAUUAAAAGUAUCCGCAGCGAUAUGCAAUUUUGAAGUUAAAAUGGAAGGAAGGAACUCGGCAAAUCUUAGCUUCGCCUGUUUAUCAAAAACAUGGCUCUCUGUUACUUUAAUAUAGGGAGUCGGACCUGCCCAGUGAAAUUUUUUAACGGCCGCGGUACCCUGACCGUGCAAAGGUAGCAUAAUCAUUUGCCUUAUAAUUGAAGGCUUGUAUGAAUGGUUUGACGGGAGCAUUGCUGUCUCCCUCCCAGUAGAUAGAACUUGACCUUUAGGUGAAGAGGCCUAAAUAUAAUUGAAAGACAAGAAGACCCUGUCGAGCUUUAAAAUUAGAUUAGAGGGAAAUAUAAAAUAGCCUAAAUUUAUAGCUAAUUGGUUUUUUGGUUGGGGCGACCGAGGAACAGCAAGAGCUUCCUUUAUCUAAGCUGACUUAUAGGUAUUGAUCCAGCCUAAAGCUGAUUAAAAAAAUUAGUUACCGCAGGGAUAACAGCAUAAUCUCUCUUAAGAGACCAAAUCGAAAGAGGGGGUUGUGACCUCGAUGUUGGACUAGAAUAUCCUGAAGAUGCAGAAGUCUUAA